GUGCUCGCUUCGGCAGUACAUAUACUAAAAUUGAAACAAUACAGAGAAGAUUAGCAUGGUCCCUGUGCAAAGAUGACAUGCAAAUUCGUGAAGCAUUUCAUAUUAAA
ensembl:snRNA U6 U6 spliceosomal RNA